GCGCAUGCGCCCUCGGCCGCUCCCCUCUCCCCCCCCCCCGGCGGGAGGGGGGCCGCGCAGGGAGGAACGCCAUUGGCUGAGCGCCUGGCGGGGAUGCAAAUGAGAGGGCGCCGCCGUGCAAUGGGGGAGAGGGGGAGGCGGUGAUAUGCAAAGUGCCGCGACGGAGACGUCAGUGCGGGCGCGGAACCGCGCGCGCCCGGCGGCGGCGGGCCCUGCAGCGCGGGAACCCUCCGGCGUCCCGCUGCAACACCCGGUGUAAGAGUGUCUUCAGCUAUCAAAGAGGAAGGAAAAGCAGCCUAAAGGGUUGAGAAAGAGCAUCAAGGUCCCUGGGCAGCUGACUGGAGAUGUGCGAAGUCCAGCUACCAUUUCAAGAUCCUGCCCCGGCAGCAGGAACAUGAUUACAGAGGAACGACCACAAACGUGGGCGCAGGAAAGCGUACAUCUCCAGCACUGGCUCGCCUCCCUGGCCUUGGGCAGGUCAUUUCUCCACGUUACGCUAAAAGUUGUGGACCAGCAGCACCGGUACAAGAAGCAGAAGCACCUUUAAGGGGAUGAUGUCAUCAGCACGCUAAUAUUUCUGCAGCUAUUCUCAUCUGCUCAAAGAUAGCUAUUUAAAAUACUUUUUUUAAAAGGCAAUCCUUACUGCACAUGGGACUAAUACAGAACAGCAGUUCUUGAACUUCGAAUACAUUCCAUAACUUGAACUGAAUCGUGACUAGGUUCAGAAAGUAAUAACGACUCUUCCGAUGACACUUAGCUUUUCCUUCCCAUCACCAUGCUGCAAGAACCUAAGUAGUACAGAAUAAAAUAAACGAAGAGAUUAAAGGGCUGAAAAA